GACGAACGCUGGCGGCGUGCCUAAUACAUGCAAGUAGAACGCUGAAGGAGGAGCUUGCUCUUCUGGAUGAGUUGCGAACGGGUGAGUAACGCGUAGGUAACCUGCCUGGUAGUGGGGGAUAACUAUUGGAAACGAUAGCUAAUACCGCAUAAUAACAGUUGUUGCAUGACAACUGUUUGAAAGGUGCAAUUGCAUCGCUACCAGAUGGACCUGCGUUGUAUUAGCUAGUUGGUGGGGUAACGGCUCACCAAGGCGACGAUACAUAGCCGACCUGAGAGGGUGAUCGGCCACACUGGGACUGAGACACGGCCCAGACUCCUACGGGAGGCAGCAGUAGGGAAUCUUCGGCAAUGGACGAAAGUCUGACCGAGCAACGCCGCGUGAGUGAAGAAGGUUUUCGGAUCGUAAAGCUCUGUUGUAAGAGAAGAACGAGUGUGAGAGUGGAAAGUUCACACUGUGACGGUAUCUUACCAGAAAGGGACGGCUAACUACGCG
rnacentral:rRNA from 1 species